CCCAAGGCCCGGACAGAUGUGUUCUAUACACUUGUUUAAACACGGUGCUCAUUAGGAGGGGCGCCGUGAGCACGUUCGCCCGGAGUGGCCCUUCCCGAUGCCAGCAGCAGCGUCCUGUGACCUGGAGGCCGCCCACCCCGCGUGGCUCAGAAAGGGGCCCCACAUUUGCAGAGUCUCUCGCAUCUUCCAAAAUACUCAUAAUUUGAGGAGUUAUCUGUUUAAUUUCCACCUUCCCAGUGAAGAUGGGGGCUGUCUGUCCUGCUUACCACAUCACACCAGCACCUAGGACACAGCUUGUAGAUGCUCAAGAGAUGUUUGUGGCACUGCGGUGAAUCACGAGAAUGAGUCAAACCAUUUUCCUUGAGGAUCUGGAGAGAAGGUAAGUCCUCAUGACUCCUUGUGGCCUCUUUAUUCUUUCCUUUAUGUGGCUCAGUGACAAUGACACUGCUCCGUUGCCUCAAUUUCCUUGUGGGAGAAGGAGGUAGGGAAGGGUUAAAGUGGACUCGCCCCAGAUCGGGUGUUUGUGGUGCUCCUUCUGGAGGUCUGCCAGUCAUCACUAGUGCCUUCGCGCUGACACCAGCAACUGCC
rnacentral:lncRNA from 13 species